GCUAUAAGCCAUUGCUAGAAACUCCUUCCAAUGCAAACAAGAUUGUAUUCCUCAUGCUUGCACAGAAAUUUCUUUUCAGAGGCUACAAAUCUGCCAUCUGCAAUGCAACCAUCAAGUCUUGGUCUACUUAUCGAUCUCGAGUGCAAAAAAAGAUAUCUUUCAGUGCACAGAUGGCAGGUCCAAUAUAAGCACCAAAAUUUUCACGUGGA
rnacentral:lncRNA from 1 species